rnacentral:rRNA from 1 species
CCUACGGGAGGCAGCAGUGGGGAAUUUUGGACAAUGGGGGCAACCCUGAUCCAGCCAUGCCGCGUGCGGGAAGAAGGCCUUCGGGUUGUAAACCGCUUUUAUCCGGAAAGAAGGAGUCCAGGUUAAUACCCUGGAUGACAGACGGUACCGGAGGAAUAAGCACCGGCUAACUACGUGCCAGCAGCCGCGGUAAUACGUAGGGUGCGAGCGUUAAUCGGAAUUACUGGGCGUAAAGCGUGCGCAGGCGGUUCGUUAAGUCAGCUGUGAAAGCCCCGGGCUCAACCUGGGAAUUGCGGUUGAAACUGGCGAACUAGAAUCUGGCAGAGGGGGGUGGAAUUCCACGUGUAGCAGUGAAAUGCGUAGAGAUGUGGAGGAACACCGAUGGCGAAGGCAGCCCCCUGGGCUAAGAUUGACGCUCAGGCACGAAAGCGUGGGGAGCAAACAGGAUUAGAUACCCUGGUAGUCCACGCCCUAAACGAUGUCAACUAGGUGUUGGUAGGAGACAUACUUCUAGUACCGCAGCUACGACGUGAGUAGUCCGCCGNGGGAGGUACGGUCGCGAGAGUAAACGUACUAAGUAGUAGUUAGAGUGUUAGAGAGCGACGACGACGACGAGGAGGAGGAG